rnacentral:rRNA from 1 species
UGGGGAAUUUUGGACAAUGGGCGAAAGCCUGAUCCAGCAAUGCCGCGUGUGUGAAGAAGGCCUUCGGGUUGUAAAGCACUUUUGUCCGGAAAGAAAUCCUUGGCUCUAAUACAGUCGGGGGAUGACGGUACCGGAAGAAUAAGCACCGGCUAACUACGUGCCAGCAGCCGCGGUAAUACGUAGGGUGCAAGCGUUAAUCGGAAUUACUGGGCGUAAAGCGUGCGCAGGCGGUUUGCUAAGACCGAUGUGAAAUCCCCGGGCUCAACCUGGGAACUGCAUUGGUGACUGGCAGGCUAGAGUAUGGCAGAGGGGGGUAGAAUUCCACGUGCAGCAGUGAAAUGCGUAGAGAUGUGGAGGAAUACCGAUGGCGAAGGCAGCCCCCUGGGCCAAUACUGACGCUCAUGCACGAAAGCGUGGGGAGCAAAACAGGAUUAGAUACCCUGGUAGUCCACGCCCUAAACGAUGUCAACUAGUUGUUGGGGAUUCAUUUCCUUAGUAACGUAGCUAACGCGUGAAGUUGACCGCCUGGGGAGUACGGUCGCAAGAUUAAAACUCAAAGGAAUUGACGGGGUCAUAGCUGUUUCCU